rnacentral:rRNA from 1 species
UACGAGUGGUGCAAGCGUUAUUCGGAAUCAUUGGGCGUAAAGGGUGUGUAGACGGCAUGUUAAGUCAAUUGUUAAAUUCACCGGCCUAACCGGUGGCUCGCAAUAGAUACUGGCGUGCUCGAGGGUGGAAGAGAGAAGUGGAAUUCUCGGAGUAGCGGUAAAAUGCGUAGAUCUCGAGAGGAACACCAAUGGCGAAGGCAGCUUCUUGGUCCAUUUCUGACGUUGAAACACGAAAGCGUGGGGAGCAAACAGG